GACGAACGCUGGCGGCGUGCCUAAUACAUGCAAGUCGAGCGGACAGAAGGGAGCUUGCUCCCGGAUGUUAGCGGCGGACGGGUGAGUAACACGUGGGUAACCUGCCUGUAAGACUGGGAUAACUCCGGGAAACCGGAGCUAAUACCGGAUAGUUCCUUGAACCGCAUGGUUCAAGGAUGAAAGACGGUUUCGGCUGUCACUUACAGAUGGACCCGCGGCGCAUUAGCUAGUUGGUGGGGUAAUGGCUCACCAAGGCGACGAUGCGUAGCCGACCUGAGAGGGUGAUCGGCCACACUGGGACUGAGACACGGCCCAGACUCCUACGGGAGGCAGCAGUAGGGAAUCUUCCGCAAUGGACGAAAGUCUGACGGAGCAACGCCGCGUGAGUGAUGAAGGUUUUCGGAUCGUAAAGCUCUGUUGUUAGGGAAGAACAAGUGCGAGAGUAACUGCUCGCACCUUGACGGUACCUAACCAGAAAGCCACGGCUAACUACGUGCCAGCAGCCGCGGUAAUACGUAGGUGGCAAGCGUUGUCCGGAAUUAUUGGGCGUAAAGGGCUCGCAGGCGGUUUUUUAAGUCUGAUGGAAAGCCCCCGGCUCAACCGGGGAGGAACCGGGGAGGGUCAUUGGAAACUGGGAAACUUGAGUGCAGAAGAGGAGAGUGGAAUUCCACGUGUAGCGGUGAUAUGCGUAGAGAUGUGGAGGAACACCAGUGGCGAAGGCGACUCUCUGGUCUGUAACUGACGCUGAGGAGCGAAAGCGUGGGGAGCGAACAGGAUUAGAUACCCUGGUAGUCCACGCCGUAAACGAUGAGUGCUAAGUGUUAGGGGGUUUCCGCCCCUUAGUGCUGCAGCUAACGCAUUAAGCACUCCGCCUGGGGAGUACGGUCGCAAGACUGAAACUCAAAGGAAUUGACGGGGGCCCGCACAAGCGGUGGAGCAUGUGGUUUAAUUCGAAGCAACGCGAAGAACCUUACCAGGUCUUGACAUCCUCUGACAACCCUAGAGAUAGGGCUUUCCCUUCGGGGACAGAGUGACAAGUGGUGCAUGGUUGUCGUCAGCUCGUGUCGUGAGAUGUUGGGUUAAGUCCCGCAACGAGCGCAACCCUUGAUCUUAGUUGCCAGCAUUCAGUUGGGCACUCUAAGGUGACUGCCGGUGACAAACCGGAGGAAGGUGGGGAUGACGUCAAAUCAUCAUGCCCCUUAUGACCUGGGCUACACACGUGCUACAAUGGACAGAACAAAGGGCUGCAAGACCGCAAGGUUUAGCCAAUCCCAUAAAUCUGUUCUCAGUUCGGAUCGCAGUCUGCAACUCGACUGCGUGAAGCUGGAAUCGCUAGUAAUCGCGGAUCAGCAUGCCGCGGUGAAUACGUUCCCGGGCCUUGUACACACCGCCCGUCACACCACGAGAGUUUGCAACACCCGAAGUCGGUGAGGUAACCUUUAUGGAGCCAGCCGCCGAAGGUGGGGCAGAUGAUUGGGGUGA
rnacentral:rRNA from 1 species